rnacentral:tRNA from 1 species
GCGUACUUAGCUCAAUGGUUAGAGCAUCACUCAUGAAUGCUGAUCGUGGGUUUGGGUCCCACAGUACACA